UGUGCACUUAGGUAAAGUACCGUCAUUUAUAUCUUAGAAGGGGUUACUCAUCAGUCGACAUCUUAGAAAUUGACUAAGACAAAACAGUGCUGCCAUCAACGGAAGUUUGACAAACGUAUCAAAACAUUAGCGUUCUAAUUUCUCUAGUUAUACCCACGAGCACCAUACAGUUCGUGCUUACAAGUUACGUAGCUGGUCGGAGCCGACACAGGGCUGCUUUCUGGGCUGGGGCAGUUCUUUGUCCGAGUAACAAGGUGUGUGUGUCUAUCUCCAGCGGACAUCCAAAUCAUGCAUUUGUUUGGAAUCUGCAAACGGUUCUACUGAAACGGAAAGUUUUCUUAAGCGACUGUUUUAUCAAGACUCUAAGUCAUGGAUGUUUAAUGACUUUGACAGUCAUUUAAACCAAACGUACUGGAAGAAAGAAACUUCUGAUAUUUUACAAUUUGACCAUGAACCCAAAUGGUCAGUCAGCGAUGUCUCCUGGAGACCAAAGCGCAGCCAUGAUGGGAAUGAUGAACCAUAAUCAUCAUAGUGGAAGCCCGAUGAUACACAUGCAGCCUCAACCUCACUCAACACAAAUUCCCACCACUACAAAUACUAGCGGAGGGCGGUGCUGUGCUGGAUGUGGCGGAAAAAUCAUGGACAGAUUCCUGUUACAUGCCAUGGACAGAUACUGGCACACGGGAUGCCUGAAAUGCUCGUGUUGCCAAGCAACUUUGGCUGACAUUGGUAGCUCAUGCUUCACAAAGGCAGGGAUGAUCCUUUGUAAAAACGAUUAUAUACGGAUGUUUGGUAACACCGGUGCCUGUAGUGCUUGCGCUCAGGUAAUUCCCGCCAACGAGUUUGUCACAUUAAUUGUUGUUGUUGUUAUAUUUGUCACUAACUAUAGUAUUUCUU
rnacentral:misc_RNA from 1 species